rnacentral:rRNA from 1 species
AUGCAAAAUGCAUUGUUGAAGCUGUGGGCAAUGGUUGAAGAUAGCAAGAGUGCUAGGGUGAAUGAUAAUCUUGAAAGUUCUUUCACUAUCCACCAUCUGACAGAAGAGAAGAACAAGCUGGAGGCCAACUAUGACAAGUUAGUCCAAGAUGUGCAUGAGCUUAUGAGCUUCCAGGAGGAGAGGGUGGUGGAUUUUAGAUAUCUGCAGUCUAACAUUACAUAUCAGCAGCAAUGCAGAAGUGAACUGGUGGCUGAUAUGAAGGCACAGAUGGCAAAGAAAGAUGCGGAGUCUGAGAAGCUUAAGCAAAAUUAUGAAGUGCUACUGAACCUGACAAGAGCUCAAGCGACAAUCAUCCAGAACUUGAAGUUGAAGCAUAUUACAGACAAGCAAUUGCUUAGUGAAGCUAAGAUGAACUUGGAGUUGAAGAAUGCAUAUCUCACAAAGUCUGAGGAGAAGCUCACCCAAGAUAAGCCAGAGUUGAAGUUUUAG